rnacentral:snRNA from 1 species
AUCGCUUCUCGGCCUUUUGGCUAAGAUCAAGUGUAUAAGAAGCAUGACUUCUGGAAUCUGUGGUCUUACUCAUCUUUAGGUUAUCAACACUAAUUUAAUUGUUUCAUAUUGCUACAGUUCAUUCAUUUUUACUGCUACAUAGUAUCUUGCUGUAUAAAUAGACUGUAA